UUUAUUCUUUUCUUUGGCAGUAGAGGGGGAAAAAUGGGGUUUUCAAUUAUUUCGGCCGAUUGCAGAGCUUAUGAUCUUGUCUGUUCUGUCCAACUAAAAUUGUCUCAUCUCUAUGCAUAUUUUGUGUUCUAAAGAAAGCUAUAGAUGGUUUGUGGGGGGCAAUUUAGAAUCCAUAAGUGUGGAUGUGAGAGGUAGAGCAUUGGUAUCAUCUAUUUAGGUGGUUCUUUAGCCCAUUCAACACUUUCACCUGAUAAAGCUUGUUCUGUAUCUGGUCCUGUUCUCAUGAUUGCUAAUAUACCAAGUCCCUCAGUUAUGUUGACUAGGUCUUAAAUAGGUUAUGUCACCUUAAUGCAGUCAGUUUCCUUUUUUAGCCAAAAUCCCUGGAGUGUCUUUAACCUUUAAUAUCGGAAAGUUAAUGUGGUCAAAACAUCUAUAGAUUUACGCUAGUUAUGUGUGAUAUUUACAUGUUCUGAGAUUGUUUUUCUAGCUGAAAUCCUGUGGAAUAUCCUUUAUAUAUAUGUGUUUUAUAUAAAUAUGUGUGUGUGUAUAGCAUGUGUGUGUGUGUAUAUAUAUAUAUAUAUAUAUAUAUAUAUAUAUAUAUAUAUAUUGUUGUUCUGCUUUUAAUAUGACAUGUGGCGACGCCUACUUUGCGCUUCACCUUGUAUUUCCAAGUUUCAUUCAAGUCUUAAGGACAAUAUCCCAGGAAUUUAGAAAUGAUUUAAUAUAUAGACCAGCAAGGCUUCUGCUGAUUGGUUCUUAGUGGUUAAGUAGGUAGUGCUGAUGGUGGCAUCUAUUGAUAACUUUCUUUAUAUAAAACUCUUUAUCUGGUAUUAUCCGUAAUAAAUCAAAUCUAGAACUACUACAUACAUAUGAAAAUCAAAAAGCGAACUUGAGGUGUCAACUUUUGAUGAGAACAGUGACAAAUUGAAUAUUUAGGUGUAAAUGAUGGUUUAACUAAAUUAUAUAGGCAAAACUGUUGAUUCUCCUUGAAUAGUAGGCAGAUUGUGUAGUUGAAUAGGAUGAAUAUUUUAAGCAUGAUUGGUUGAAUUAGGAAAUAUAUAAUGUACUAAUUUAGAGAUAUAGAACACAUCAUGUGAUUCGUCAUGUUCCAUAUAUAUAUAUAGCAUAUAGAAUCCAGGUAACGGUAUAAUAUAUUCCACCUUUUUACUUUAUUCUUUAGUGUUUGUAUAUUUUUAAUGAGACAUCUCGAUUUUAUAUGCAGGUCUCGGCAACUCGUCUAGGUUGCAUGCCAACAGAAAUUUAGGCAUUUAGUCAGGAUCGGUGGAUACCUGCCCCACCAAUUAAUGGAAGAGGUUAAGAGUGGUAAGAUGUAUAUUUGUAGUUUUACAAAUUACUAUUACCUUGGAUGUUCUGCUAUUUUUUGGACGUGUAGAGAAUCCUGUAAUGCACCUAUGAGUUACUUACCUCUAUUAGUUAAAAUGGUUCACGUGGGCUGCACAUGAGGUUCAUAGUUUGAAUUUGAAUAUGAAUAUAAUGUUGUGAAAACUUUGGUGGUGACAGUCAGUACUAUUUGGCUAUGAAUGUUAGUACUAUUGAG
rnacentral:lncRNA from 1 species